AACUCUUUAGAUAAAACCAAAAAAGCAAGUUCUGUAACCAAGGACCAGAUGUAUUUUUGGGUUUAGCCCUUGUACAUAUUUAGCCGAGCUUUUCAAGUGGUGAAGAUUUGCAUGUUUGUUUUGCAAUACUAAUGAAUAUGUUUUUGAUUUACAUUUUAGAAAAUGGAAACUUUUAUCUUCUUGGGGCUUUGUAACUUAAUGACUUCCAGAGGGUGGCUUGGUGUCCUCUUUUAACCCUUCACCACGAGAAACGUAUCUUUUUCAGAGGCCCAGGGCUCUAUCUCACUGAAUGAAACCCUGAAGAUAAUGUGGUUCUGUCUUUUGUUGCUGGAAUGGCAAGGGUUGAAGAGCUUUCAGCUUUCAAUCUAGUGAAAACAUAUGUAAAUGGCAAAUUAUUUUUAAACUGCCUUUAAUGUGAAUUCUGGGGGUAUACAGAAUGACUCCACAGAUGAUAUUUAUAUGAGAUGAAUAAGGACAACUCUUUUGGAAAAACAUUGCUUUGAGAGUUUGGGGCUAUCACAAAGAAAGCUGAUGUGAGUUCCCAUGAAAGGAGGGAUGCAACAUGAGAGGAAUUUGCCAUUACUAAGGAACAUGGAGAUUUUGAGAGUGAUGGAUAUGUUCAUUAUCUUCAUUAUGAUGUUGAUUUCAUGCGUAUGGAAGCCCUUCUCUCAAGUUCCCCUGAGCCAUACAGCAAAUUCCCAUUGGCUAUCUAUUUUACAUUUGGUAAUGUAUGUUUCCAUGUUACUCUCUGCAUACAUCCCACCCUCUCCUUCCUCCCCCCACACUGUAUCCAUAAGUCUGUGUCUCCUCUAUGACUUCUUGAUUUAGCCUGAGAACCCAUACAUUGAGAUUCUUCCAUGUAUUUGAGAGAAGGGUCAUGCUGCUAAU